GCAUAGCUUAGUAGGUUAUAGUGUGGUGCUGAUAAUGCCAAGGUUGCAGGUUCGAAUCCCCGGGACAGCUGCA